GACGAACGCUGGCGGCGUGCUUAACACAUGCAAGUCGAACGGAAAGGCCCUGCUUUUGUGGGGUGCUCGAGUGGCGAACGGGUGAGUAACACGUGAGUAACCUGCCCUUGACUUUGGGAUAACUUCAGGAAACUGGGGCUAAUACCGGAUAGGAGCUCCUGCUGCAUGGUGGGGGUUGGAAAGUUUCGGCGGUUGGGAUGGACUCGCGGCUUAUCAGCUUGUUGGUGGGGUAGUGGCUUACCAAGGCUUUGACGGGUAGCCGGCCUGAGAGGGUGACCGGCCACAUUGGGACUGAGAUACGGCACAGACUCCUACGGGAGGCAGCAGUGGGGAAUAUUGCACAAUGGGCGGAAGCCUGAUGCAGCAACGCCGCGUGCGGGAUGACGGCCUUCGGGUUGUAAACCGCUUUCGCCUGUGACGAAGCGUGAGUGACGGUAAUGGGUAAAGAAGCACCGGCUAACUACGUG
rnacentral:rRNA from 1 species